rnacentral:rRNA from 1 species
AGUUCGAUCCUGGCUCAGAUUGAACGCUGGCGGGAUGCUUUUACAUGCAAGUCAGACGGCAGCACGGACUUCGGUCUGGUGGCGAGUGGCGAACGGGUGAGUAAUGUAUCGGAACGUGCCUAAUGUGAGGAUAACUACGCGAAAGCGUAGCUAAUGCAUACGCCCUUCGGGGAAAGCGGGGGACCUUCGGGCUCGCACUAUUAGAGCAGCCGAUAUCGGGUCGGCUAGUUGAGCAGGGUAACGGCUCCCUGCGGGCGACGAUCCGUAGCUGGUUUGAGGAGGACGACCAACCACACACUGGGACAGGGCCUGACCCAGACUCCUACAGAGGGCAGCAGUGGGGAAUUUUGGACAAUGGGGGAAACCCGCGGUCAUGCAUCCCGCGUGUGCGGUAAGAAGGCCUUCGGGUUGUAAAGCACUUUUGGCAGGAAAGAAACAUGCGGGAUAAUACCCCGUGCAACUGACGGUACCUGCAGAAUAAGCACCGGCUAACUACGUGCCAGCAGCCGUGGUAAUACGUAGGUGCAAGCGUUAAUCGGAAUUGCAGGCGUAAAGCGUGCGCGGGCGGUUCCGGAAGAAAGAUGUGAAAUCCCAGAGCUUAACUGCAGAACUGCAUUUUUAACUACCGAGCUAGAGUGUGUCAGAGGGAGGUGGAAUUCCGCGAUGUGGCGGUGAAAUGCGUAGAUAUGCGGAGGAACACCGUGCUUGAAGGCAGCCUCCUGGGAUAACACUGACGCUCAUGCACGAAAGCGUGGGAGCAAACAGGAUUAGAUGCCCUGGUAGUCCACGCCCUAAACGAUGUCAACUAGCUGUUGGGGCCUUCGGGCCUUGGUAGCGCAGCUAACGCUGAAGUUGACCGCCUGGGAAGUACAGUCGCAAGAUUAAAACUCAAAGGAAUUGACGAGGGGACCCGCACAAGCGGUGGAUGAUGUGGAUUAAUUCGAUGCAACGCGAAAAACCUUACCUACCCUUGACAUGUCUGGAAUCCCGAAGAAGUUUGAAAUUGCUCGCAAGAGAACCGGAACACAGGUGCUGCAUGGCUGUCGUCAGCUCGUGUCGUGAGAUGUUGGGUUAAGUCCCGCAACGAGCGCAACCCUUGUCAUUAGUUGCUACGAAAGGGCACUCUAAUGAGACUGCCGGUGACAAACCGGAGGAAGGUGGGGAUGACGUCAAGUCCUCAUGAAAGCCCAUAUGGGUGGGGCUUCACACGUCAUACAAUGGUCGGGACGGAGGGUCGCCAACCCGCGAGGAGCCGUCCCAGAAACCCGAUCGUAGUCGGAUCGCAGUCUGCAACUCGACUGCGUGAAGUCGGAAUCGCUAGUAAUCGCGGAUCAGCAUGUCGCGGUGAAUACGUUCCCGGGUCUCGUACACACCGCCCGUCCUGCCGGUGGUUUUCAGUAGUUAGCCUAACCGUAAGGGCGAUUACAGUAGGAUUCAUGACUGGGGUGAAGUCGUAACAAGGUAA